rnacentral:rRNA from 1 species
UACGAAGGGUGCAAGCGUUACUCGGAAUUACUGGGCGUAAAGCGUGCGUAGGUGGUGAGUUAAGUCUGUCGUGAAAGCCCUGGGCUCAACCUGGGAAUUGCAUUGGAUACUGGCAGGCUAGAGUGCGGUAGAGGAUGGCGGAAUUCCCGGUGUAGCAGUGAAAUGCGUAGAGAUCCGGGAGGAACACCGACGCGUAGGCAGCGCCCUGGACGACACCUGACGCUGAGGCACGAAAGCCCAGGGGAGCGAACGGG